UACGGAGGGGGCAAGCGUUGUUCGGAUUUACUGGGCGUAAAGGGUCCGUAGGCGGUUGUGUAAGUCUGGUGUGAAAUCUUCGCCGCUUAACGGGAAGCAGCCACUGGAAACUGCAUAACUUGAGUCUGGUAGAGGCAAGCGGAAUUCCAGGUGUAGCGGUGAAAUGCGUAGAUAUCUGGAGGAACACCGGUGGCGAAGGCGGCAUCCUGGACCGACACUGACGCUGAGGCGCGAAAGCUAGGGGAGCAAACGGG
rnacentral:rRNA from 1 species